AAAUUGCUUGGAUCUUCAAGAUUCCCAAACCCAACUCGAUUACAAUUGUAACUGUACAAGAGCGCAAGGUCUCCAAUCAGUAGCUUCGAUCUUUUAGCAACCAAAAUUAACAAGGAAAUCAGACACAAUAAGAAUAGAUCGAGGCUGCAAUGAGCAUGAUGGAGGGCAAGGAAUGCAAUCUGCGAGCUUACAAGGGAGGGUGAGUGAUUGGCAUGAACCACACAGAGACUCCGAAGAAAGGAAGAAGGUGAUGAACGAAGGGAGAAAAGAGGAAAGAGUCGGAGAGAGGGUGGUUUUCUAGGGAAAUCGGUCUGCAGAAUCUGACAUGAAGCUUGGCACUUGAAAAUUCAAGCGUCCCGCUUUAAGCUGGUUUAGAU
rnacentral:misc_RNA from 1 species